rnacentral:lncRNA from 1 species
CUUUCAAAGCAGCCAACUCAAUCUUAAUAGGUGAAAUUCUGCAGAUUCCCCAACUUUCCCAGACUGCCUUCUCAAUGUUGGUGUAUCACAUGGGCUAUGAAAAUCUCAGGUUGGAAGACUACAGAGCAAUAUGCAUGGAAGGAGAUACAAAAUGGCAGGUGUUGGAAAGAUUAUGGGUGCUUCAUGGGACCUUCUCUGCUGAUCAUACCCUCC